rnacentral:pre_miRNA from 2 species
UAGUGGUGUCAUGGUCAUUGUUGACUGCUCAUACGACCCCUACAAUUGCAUUGCAGCUUAUGCGUGGGUCGUAUAACGGUCAACAAAGAUCAUUGACAUCAAAGA